rnacentral:lncRNA from 1 species
UUGACUUCACUCUCGUUUUUUUUCCUUGUCAACCAAACAAAUCCUUAAUGGUAGUUAGCAGCUAGAUCAAAAGAAGGGAUACAAAUUUCCCAUGAAUCUCUCUCCUCCAUCUUGAGUACUAAAACAGAAAUGGUGAACAAUGCAUUAUCCGUUCAUUACAAUACAAGUAAUUAAGAAAUCCAUACAAUAAACUGUAGAUAUCUGCCCGGA